GACGAACGCUGGCGGCGUGCUUAACACAUGCAAGUCGAGCGGUAAGGCCCUUUCGGGGGUACACGAGCGGCGAACGGGUGAGUAACACGUGGGUGACCUGCCCUCAGCUCUGGGAUGAGCCUGGGAAACUGGGUCUAAUACUGGAUAUGACUCCACGGUGCAUGUCGUGGGGUGGAAAGCCUUGUGCGGCUGAGGAUGGGCCCGCGGCCUAUCAGCUUGUUGGGGGGUGAUGGCCUACCAAGGCGACGACGGGUAGCCGGCCUGAGAGGGCGACCGGCCACACUGGGACUGAGACACGGCCCAGACUCCUACGGGAGGCAGCAGUGGGGAAUCUUGCGCAAUGGGCGAAAGCCUGACGCAGCGACGCAGCGUGAGGGAUGACGG
rnacentral:rRNA from 1 species